GUCGAGUGUGGUGUCAUGCACCUAUAAUCUUAGUUACCAGCGAGGCUGCCAGGUUCAUCCUGGCAGAUCUCUUGAGCUCAAGCAUUCUGAGAAGCGGCUGGCUAUGCCAACUGAGUAUCCGCACUAAGUUCAACAUUAACAUGGGGAAACCCAGGGUGUGUGGGCCACCAGGUUGCCUAAGGUGGGGAAAACUGGCCCAGGUUAGUAAAGGAUCAGGUCAAAGCUUCUGUGUCAGUCAGAGUGGGACUGGGCUAAUGAGGAGUCCUUGAACUUCCAGACUGGGCAAGAUAUGGAGAACCAGCCUCA
rnacentral:SRP_RNA from 1 species